CCUACGGGGGGCAGCAGUGAGGAAUAUUGGUCAAUGGGCGCGAGCCUGAACCAGCAAAGUAGCGUGAAGGAUGACUGCCCUACGGGUUGUAAACUUCUUUUAUAAAGAAAUAAAGUGAGGCACGUGUGCCUUUUUGUAUGUACUUUAUGCAUAAGGAUCGGCUAACUCCGUGCCAGCAGCCGCGGUAAGACGGAGGAUCCGAGCGUUAUCCGGAUUUAUUUGGUUUAAAGGGAGCGUAGAUUGGUUGUUAAGUCAGUUGUGAAAGUUUGCGGCUCAACCGUAAAAUUGCAAUUGAUACUGGCAGCCUUGAGUACAGUUGAGGUAGGCGGAAUUCGUGGUGUAGCGGUGAAAUGCGUAGAUAUCACGAAGAACUCCGAUGGCGAAGGCAGCCUACUAAACUGCCACUGACAUUGAUGCUCGAAAGUGUGGGUAGCAAACAGGAUUAGAUACCCCAGUAGUC
rnacentral:rRNA from 1 species